AGUCUAGAGGAAAUGAUCCAGGGAUGAAAUAGUGGUUCCACAAAGCCAUUGGACACUGGGCUCCUUCUAGCUUUCUACUCCAUUAUCCCUGGCUGGUGGCUUCCAUCCUGAAGGUCACCUCAUGGUUCGAGAUGGCUUUCUUAGCUCUAGCCAUCCCCUCUUCAUCUCAAGCAGUAGGAAGGUGAAAGGAGGAAAGGACAAAGGUUCGGCCUUUCACCUGGAUCUAUUCUCCUUAAGCAGUCUUCUUAUCCCACCAGUCCCUCAGUACAAGCUCGGUGCCUUCCUCCUGCAAUUGCCUUCCCAGAUCUAUCCAGUCCAGAGUAAAAUCUCCCUCCCUGAAACCCAGCACUGAAGAUACGUACUGUUCUUGAAGCUAUUAGGAGUUUGGACUCCGAUGCCUAUAACCAUGCGAUCCUGGCUAAUAAGGCCACUCAUUUGGGAACCACCACGGGCCACCACAGCCCUUGAGCACCACCCGUCAUGUACUAAGACCACAGCCGAAAUGUGUGACUCGCAAGCAGGCCUUCUGGGCAGGUGCAGGAAUUUUUAGCAGUUAUUUCAAACGACCAGCCCUGAGCUAACAUCUGUGCCCAUCUUCCUCUACUUUAUAUGUGGGAUGCCUACCACAGCAUGGCUUGCCAAGUGGUGCCAUGUCUGCACCCAGGAUCCGAACCAAAGAACCCCAGGCCACCGAAGCGGAACGUGCACACAACUGCUGCGCCACUGGGCUGGCCCCUACUGGGCAUUUUAAAAGCUAUUAUUUACAUGCAUUUGACCUGCAGAUUAAACCAAUGAAGAAUGUGUGGUCCUAGUUCACAGGUGGGUGAACAGGGGCUCAGAGAGUUUAAGAAACCUCCUUGAGGUCUCAUUGCUGCUGGGGUCCAGACCCGGAAUUUGAGUCAAGGUCCGCCUAAGUCCAAAGACUCCAUUCUACUUCUCCAUCAGGUCACCAGAAUUUUUCCUGUGUUGCAGGGAGGCAAGAAGGCUAGUGGUUAAGAGAGAGGGUUUGGGCUCAGGUUGGCCUGGAUGCAAAUUGGAGCAAGUUAUGUCAUCUCUCUCAUCCUCCACUUUUGUCUGCAUCUGUAAAAUAAGGAUAAUGAUGAUGGUUUGGGGCUGAAUAGGAUAGUGCAUGUCUAGUCCUUGGCACAGUGCUUGGUCCAUAGAAAGCACUCAAUAAACCUUAGUGAUUAUUAUCAGCGUGGAGGAGGAGAAAUGACCACAAAGGAUUUGUUUGCUGUUGACAGUAGCUCAGGAAACAGUGGUCCAUCAUCGUUAACACAAUCUGUUUAGGAUUGAGGCCGAA
rnacentral:lncRNA from 1 species